rnacentral:rRNA from 1 species
AUGCUAGGCAUGAUGAGUCGCCAACAGCAGCAUGCACCUCUUAGGACUUCAGCCAACGGAGCCCCCCACCGGAAGCUUGAUAGGGAGGGUAGUGGAAGGCAUGAUAGUAAAUCACACCUGAUGAGAUCUUCAUCUGGUGGUUUUACCAGUGCAGAAAAUGGAGGCAAACUUGGGCAUGCAAACCCUUCACGGGAUCGACUAGUCUAUGUUAUGACACAAAUUAUUGGGCAUCAUGUGGAUGUGCAUGUCAAAAAUGGAUCUGUUAUCUCUGGAAUCUUCCAUGCAACAAACACCGAUAAAGACUUUGGAAUUAUCUUAAAAAUGGCACAGCCGAUAAAGGAUACUUCUGUGGGAGGACAAAUUAAUACCUCUGAUGUUGUAAGAAAGCCGGAGACUAUGAUAAUACCAGCACGGGAGCUUGUUCAAGUUUUUGCCAAGGACGUAACACUAGGCGGUGAUGAACUGCCAAAAGGCCCUGUCCAUGACAAAAGGAAAGACUUGAUGAUAGAUUCUGCCAUCUCUCGUUCUCAUUUCCCUGAAGAGAGGGAGCUUGAACGCUGGGCACCAGAUGAAGGGGAUUCAGACUGCAUUGAAUUGGAAAAAUUUGACAGAAAGGGACAUAGGAGCUGGGACCAGUUUGAGACAAAUGCAGCUUUGUUUGGGGUAAAGAGUACUUUCAAUGAAGAUCUUUAUACCACAAAGCUUGAGCGAGGUCCUCAUAUGAGAGAGCUUGAAAAGCAUGCUUCAAGGAUAGCACGAGAAAUAGAGGGUGAAGAUACAGAAGAUCUUCAUCUUGCUGAGGAAAGAGGUUUAUACUUGGAUGAAGAUUUGGAGCAUGAUGAAGAGAUCAAAUAUUCUGCAGUUCGGAGGGAUACUGAUACCACAGUUAAACCCUUCACAAAUGUCCCAAGCAGGCCCGUUAGCAUUGAUACCAAGGAUUUGCCAGUGUGUUCAUCAACAAUGGAUGACAAAUCAUCUUCCCAUAUAUCUGGUGGUACUCAUUUGUCUGCCACUGCUGAAUACCAGUCAAACAAGCUUUUGCCUGCUGAUGCCAACAGGUUGGAUGGUAAGAGAAGUAAAGAUAGUAGCGGUGACAAAGACAACAGGAUCUUGCAACCCGAGAAUACUUUACCUGAAGGGGGCAGGCCGCUGAUUUCUGAAGAUUUGGAAGGAGCACCUUCAAGGUCGCGUGCGUCUGAGCCUUCAUCUUCUGGCCAAGGAAACAAGCCAUCAGAUGGUUUGGCACAAGAUUCGACUCUACCCAGCAAACUUCCUUCUGCGCCUGAAUAUGCGAAUUCUUCUCAAAGACCUGGCAGUUCUACACCAUUAACAUCCGAGCGUGUUGCUGCGAACUCAGCUGCGAGUGCUGCUCCAGGCUUAUCACCAAGUUCUUCGAUGGGAUCUCUUAGCUCAGACAAAUCAAGUUUGAACCCAAACGCUAAGGAAUUCAAAUUGAACCCUAAUGCUAAGAGUUUCACUCCCUUGACUUCUCCGAGGCCACAUCACCCUCCAGCGCCUGAUGCAACAUACUAUUAUCCUAAUAACAUGGGGGCUACUGGACCUGGUUUGCCAGUUGGCAUGGGGUUCCCACAGGCGUAUGGUGGACAGCCUGUUGUUUACAAUGCUCAGCCUGGAUCUUCUCCCCAGGGUUACAUGCAUCCUUCUGGGCAACAGUAUGGGCAGCAAAUGAUGAUGGGACAGACCCGCCCUGUCUAUUAUUAUGCACCUGAGAUGCAGCAGCAGCAAUACAGAGGAAGGAACUUCUAG